AAUCAAGUUACAGUGUCUCUUUCUUGCAGAAAACACAAAAGAAACGAGAGAAAGGGGGAAAGAAAAUUCACUUGGCACGUGCCACUUUCAUUUCCACGCCGGGAAAUCCUCAGGACACUGCUGUCCUCCUCUUCUUCUUCCUCCUCCUCCGAAGCACCUACCAUGCACUUUCUCGCUACCCUGCACUUUCUUGCUCUUCCCCCACAACCCUAGAAAGAUCCCCACCGUUUUGUCUCCCUCGCUUUCUCGCUUCCCAAAGACUGCCCUCCAAGCCCCUCCUUCCACUUGAGUGACGUCACUGUUCAAAACUUGCCCUUUUUGUGGACCUCACGAUCCACAUCUGAAUUAAAAUCUCUCUCUCUCUCUCUCUCUCUCGCGCGCGCUGCGUCUCUCUCUCAUGGGUACAAAUCAAAAUUUGUCCUUUUAACCGUUUUUAGAAGGAAAAUCCCAUCACCACUGUAUUUGCGAGAGGACCCACCAAUUAAUUUUCGCUGAAGUUGCGGAAUUUCUGAUGGGGGCGGUGACGUCGACGAUGGCGGCGAAGUUUGCGUUCUUCCCGCCGACGCCGCCGUCGUACGAGCUGGCAAGGGACGAGGUCACGGGGAAGCUGGGGAUGGCCGGAGUGAACGUGAAGGAGAACGUCGACGUCUUGAGCUUGCCCACGAAGAGAGGGAACGAGAUCGUGGCUCUGUACAUAAAGAACCCGGUGGCCGCGUUGACCGUGAUGUAUUCGCACGGUAAUGCGGCCGAUCUGGGUCAGAUGUACGAGCUGUUCAGUGAGCUCAGUGUGCACUUGCGAGUCAACUUUAUGGGGUAUGACUAUUCUGGAUAUGGCCGGUCCACAGGAAAGUUCUGUUCUGGACAGCCAAGCGAGCAGAACACGUAUUACGACAUCGAAGUGGCUUAUAGAUGCCUUGUAGAGAAGUAUGGAGUAAAGGAAGAAGAUGUUAUCUUGUACGGGCAAUCAGUCGGCAGUGGACCAACUCUUGAUUUGGCCACCCGGUUACCAAGACUGAGGGCUGUGGUCCUCCACAGCCCCAUUCUAUCUGGGCUUAGAGUCAUGUAUCCAGUGAAGAGAACAUAUUGGUUUGACAUUUUCAAGAAUAUCGACAAAAUACCGUAUGUCACGUGUCCUGUUCUGGUGAUACAUGGAACGGCGGAUGAUGUGGUGGACUGGUCCCAUGGAAAGAAGUUAUGGGAGCUUUGUAAAGAGAAGUAUGAACCGCUAUGGAUCAAAGGGGGGAAUCAUUGUGACCUGGAACUUUACCCGCAAUACAUAAAGCAUCUUAAGAAGUUCAUAUCAGCCAUUGAGAAAGCGCCUCAUUUGAGGAAUAAACCUGCUCUAAUUGGAGGUCAGCCCGAGAACCCUCGGACUAGCACGGACUUCAGAGAAAAAUCCAGAUCAAGCACGGAUCAACGAGAGAAAUCGAGGCCUAGCACCGAUCAGAGAGAGAGGCCGAGGAUAAGCACAGAUCGAAGAGAAAAAUCAAGAGCCAGCGUUGAAAGAAGAGAAAAGUCACAAAGGAGCGUAGAUUUUCCUGAGAAAGUAAGUAACGGCACCGAUCAGCCAGAAAAGGCGAGGAACAGCAUUGACCGCUUUGGAGGCAUUAUGAGAUCAAGGUUGUGCAACAUAGAUUGCUUCAAGCCCCCAGCAACAGGUGUAUGAUGAAGGAAGGUUUAAUUUCAAGAUAUUUGGGAUGUAUUUAUGCAUUUCCUCGAUUUAAUUUAUUUGUUGUUGGGUAAUUUGAAUAGGAAAAUUAAUUAGGGUGAUAUAUGAAAUGAACUCAACAGGGAAGUUAUUUAUGAAUAAAAUUUGAUCUCUCUCUUUGAGCAUGGGUGUGUGCUUUCCAUUUUUGGCAUUGAGGGGCUGUCGAUCUUGGAAAAUACUCCGAGCAAUGUACAGAUGGAUUUUACCAUUUAAUCUUAGGAUGCAAGUGAGCCAAGCUCUUUGUAAUAUACUUGUUCAAGUUUGAGUUGAGCUCGUGUACAUUUUCAAGCCGAUCUGACUUUGCCUCGAGCGCUUCCUGUCCCCGAGCUUAGUGAGUAUUUGGUUAAGUGCUUAGUAUACUUUUACCUCUACUCUUUUGCGCCCUUUAAUGGCUUCUCUCUAAAUGACUAUGACCUGAAUCCCAGCUGCAGAUACUUUUUCUGCGGAAAUUAAGUUCGAGGGCUUACUU